CCUACGGGCGGCAGCAGUGAGGAAUAUUGGUCAAUGGACGAGAGUCUGAACCAGCCAAGUAGCGUGAAGGAUGACUGCCCUAUUGGUUGUAAACUUCUUUUAUAUGGGAAUAAAAUGUUCCACGUGUGGGAUUUUGUAUGUACCAUAUGAAUAAGGAUCGGCUAACUCCGUGCCAGCAGCCGCGGUAAUACGGAGGAUCCGAGCGUUAUCCGGAUUUAUUGGGUUUAAAGGGAGCGUAGGUGGAUUGUUAAGUCAGUUGUGAAAGUUUGCGGCUCAACCGUAAAAUUGCAGUUGAAACUGGCAGUCUUGAGUACAGUAGAGGUGGGCGGAAUUCGUGGUGUAGCGGUGAAAUGCUUAGAUAUCACGAAGAACUCCGAUUGCGAAGGCAGUUCACUGGACUGCAACUGACACUGAGGCUCGAAAGUGUGGGUAUCAAACAGGAUUAGAUACCCCAGUAGUC
rnacentral:rRNA from 1 species